UUCCCGGUUGAUCCUGCCGGACCCGACUGCUAUCAGAGUGGGACUAAGCCAUGCGAGUCAACAUAGCAAUAUGUGGCAUACGGCUCAGUAACACGUAGUCAACAUGCCCAGGGGACGUGGAUAACCUCGGGAAACUGAGGAUAAACCGCGAUAAGUCACUACUUCUGGAAUGGGUAAUGACUCAAAUCUACAUGGCCCCUGGAUUGGACUGCGGCCGAUCAGGCUGUUGGUGAGGUAAUGGCCCACCAAACCUGUAACCGGUACGGGCUCUGAGAGGAGGAGCCCGGAGAUGGGCACUGAGACAAGGGCCCAGGCCCUAUGGGGCGCAGCAGGCGCGAAACCUCUGCAAUAGGCGAAAGCCUGACAGGGUUACUCUGAGUGAUUUCCGUUAAGGAGAUCUUUUGGCACCUCUAAAAAUGGUGCAGAAUAAGGGGUGGGCAAGUCUGGUGUCAGCCGCCGCGGUAAUACCAGCACCCCGAGUGGUCGGGACGUUUAUUGGGCCUAAAGCAUCCGUAGCCGGUUCUACAAGUCUUCCGUUAAAUCCACCUGCUUAACAGAUGGGCUGCGGAAGAUACUAUAGAGCUAGGAGGCGGGAGAGGCAAGCGGUACUCGAUGGGUAGGGGUAAAAUCCGUUGAUCCAUUGAAGACCACCAGUGGCGAAGGCGGCUUGCCAGAACGCGCUCGACGGUGAGGGAUGAAAGCUGGGGGAGCAAACCGGAUUAGAUACCCGGGUAGUCCCAGCUGUAAACGAUGCAGACUCGGUGAUGAGUUGGCUUCUUGCCAACUCAGUGCCGCAGGGAAGCCGUUAAGUUUGCCGCCUGGGGAGUACGGUCGCAAGACUGAAACUUAAAGGAAUUGGCGGGGGAGCA
rnacentral:rRNA from 1 species